rnacentral:rRNA from 1 species
CGGAAGGGGCUAGCGUUGUUCGGAAUUACUGGGCGUAAAGGGCGCGUAGGCGGCUGCCCAAGUCAGAUGUGAAAGCCCCGGGCUUAACCUGGGAAUUGCAUUUGAGACUGGGCGGCUUGAGUUUCGGAGAGGUGGGUGGAAUUCCCAGUGUAGAGGUGAAAUUCGUAGAUAUUGGGAAGAACACCGGUGGCGAAGGCGGCCCACUGGACGAACACUGACGCUGAGGCGCGAAAGCGUGGGGAGCAAACAGGAUUAGAUACCCUGGUAGUCCACGCUGUAAACGAUGAGUGCUAGACGUUGGGGCCCUUAGGGCUUCGGUGUCGCAGCUAACGCAUUAAGCACUCCGCCUGGGGAGUACGGCCGCAAGGUUA